rnacentral:misc_RNA from 1 species
CUUCGAAUACUUUACGGAUCACAUAAAGAUACGCUAAAUAAAUAUAUUACGUACAUUUUUGUUUCGGGUAGCGUAAAAUUUUCUGUUUAUAUAUAAAACGGUUAUAUAAAAUAAUAACUCAGUUAUAUAAAAACUAAAGACUUGUUCCUCGGCCACGAUCUAACAUGUAUAAGUUCCUGAUAGUUGUCAUGGUUUUCGCCUUGGUGUCCGCUCAGCCACGCCGCCCUCCCGAGAAACAACCGAUGCCAGCGGAGGAUUCAGGUGUGGAAGUGUCCAGCGAGAAGUGUGAUCCGAUCAAGAAUAACUUCUGCGGCAGUAUUCAAACUCCCCGCUGUAAGCGUGCGUCGUGUAACUGACUGUUUGACACACCAUACGGACGCAAUGAAAACUUUUUUAUUCACUUUAUUCAUUUUUUUUUUAUUCACUUAUCGUUUAUUCACUUUUGUUAACAAAAAAUUAAAAUUAUUUUGGACGUAUUACGUGACAUUAUAUUUAAAAUAACUCAAACAAGAAUAUUUUAAAUAACAAUUCUAACAUAAAAAAAAAUAUUAAAAUUACAAGUACAUGUAAUAAAUAAAACAAGCGAUGUGGAUUUUAUUUUAUUC